rnacentral:misc_RNA from 1 species
AACCUAACCCAGUAGGAGAGCACAUUAACCAUUGCACUGUCUCAAACAUACAAACUCUACAGACUGAACAUAUAAAGAGGAAAGCUAAGGGAGGAAAAAAGGAAAAGAAAAAGAAAUGAGUAGAAAACAGAUUAAAUUGUGUCAACAUCCCCACCACAAACACACCACCUUUUCUUCCCUAACAAAUAAAUGGAAUUAAGAAAAUGCAAAACAUAAGUUAAAAUAAAAAUUUACACUUGUUUACAAGGCAUAGGAAUAAUAAUUCUUAAAGAGCACUCUACCCCAGGUACCAAAAACAUCACUUAUUUGGCAUUUAUUCUAAGUAAAGCUCAAGUGCCCUAAUGAAAUCAUGCAGGGUAAGAUUUAUCAUUAACCGUUCCUAAAUAUCACACGUCGAACCCUAACUCUAGUUCCCAAUUUUAUAGGAGGUUCAAGUUUUCCCUUGUCAUCCUCAUCAAAAAAGCCAUUCAAGUCAACUAGAUCAAUGCAGUAACUUUCAAAAGCAUCCACUUGUUCCUUGCUGGAAACUGUGACACCAGUAAUCAGGUACACGAAAAGUUCAACAUAAGAAACAUGUAAUCAUCACGCAUGAAAAUCAUCAUUCCGAGGUAAAUUUUAAUGUAUUCUUUGGCCUCGAUUCCAGCAUCGAUAUUGAAAAAGCCGACGCGCCUUCGUUUCUUGGGUUCGACGGUCGGAUCGGCGGUGGGUUGUUGCUUCUGCCCCAUUAGUUUUGGAAGGAUAUGGUUAGGGUUUCAGAGCGGGAAAUGAGAAAGGAGAGGCGGGAAAUUAUACAGUACAAAUGGGAUAUUUAACUCAAUAUAUGCUCCUGUAGUGCUGGUGGAGACUGGAGAGAUGGCGCGGGUAUCAACUCCCUAAUUUUUUUUUUUCA